AUUUCCACCUUGCACACGACAAUUUCCUCCUCCUUAUCCGCCAGAUUCUGCAGGUCUUCCCCGUGCAACUUCUGCCAGUGCAGCAUCUGAGUGUUUAUCACCCCCAUCCUCUUGUCAAAGGCCUGGACCUGCCCCGGGGGAGAAGGUGACGAGAAGGACCCGGUCGUCCCAGGGCCCCCGAGGUCUCUGGCCCAGAGCGAGCCUGAGGAGCGAGGAUCCGUAAUGAGGAACCUGGAGACGUAUGACCUCAGGAGUUGGUGAGAUGAGAAACUUUAAAUUGGAUAAUUUCUAAACCCUCAGUACAAAUGCCCCAGGGGAAGACUAUUUCUUAAAUGAAAUAAUUUUAUCUUCUGUCAGAAGAGACGUUUACUUCUGGAGAAGACCGAAGGACACCGAUCCUUCAGCCAGUGAACUGAAGGGAGCCUCUCUGCUGCCCAGAGUGUAAGGAGGGACACUCAAACGGGAGGUGAGAAACGAGGAAGGCACGGAAGACAGUUUCCUUAGCACGGGCACCUCGGUGCAAUACUGUUCUCUCAACUUCUCUGCCCGAGAAGAGCUCGCAGGAAAGAACGUGCUUCAGAACAAGGCCGGCCUGACAGGCGGCUCUCCGUAACCCGAAGGGGCCUGCGUUAAUAUGCUGCUCUAAUUAAAGGGAAAUCUACCCUCAA